rfam:Lactobacillus saniviri JCM 17471 = DSM 24301 NODE_123, whole genome shotgun sequence.
CGCGGGAUGGAGCAGUCUGGUAGCUCGUCGGGCUCAUAACCCGAAGGUCGUAGGUUCAAAUCCUACUCCCGCAA